AUUCCCUAUGAGUUUGAGCAAAUAGAAGAAGGCAGUUCUUUAGUGCUGAUUAACAUCAGUUUGUGAAUAGCAUAAUUGCUAGUGCAAACGGCAAAUAUUGUAGACAAAAAUAACAUUUGCCGAAUUGUUUAAAUCGUUAAUAUUUAUUGAAUUGCAUUACUGACCUCAGAACUUAUAAUCUCUGAAAAUUUUUAGCAAUUACUUUAACUAGUUUCAUGCCAAGUUGAACUAUGUAUGCCUUGCAUAUUAUCAUCUAUUGUAGUAUUACCAAAAAAAAUUUCACUGAAACUGGAAAAUAAAUCUCUUCAUACUAAGCAUUUCAGACGUAAUAGUUUUCGACGAAAGCCACGUUGAAACGCUUGAUAUUAAGUUUUAGCUCAAGUGCAUUGGAUCCGUGGAGUACAGAAUAUAGAUAUCCGAAAACCGCUAUAUUAAUUUUCGCAACCGGAUGACGUCAGAUAUACAAACAAAAUGCGGUUUUUCGCCGAUGACGUCAUGGCGAGUUCGUGUGAUUGUAGUUGCAAUCAUGUCAAGAAUGAUAGAAGAAAAGAUUUCGACUUCCGCUGCGAUGUCAUGCUCCAAAAAUAUACCAACAAAAGGAAGAGAAAUGGCCUUUUGGUUAAUAGGAAGACUAGGCGAAAGCAAUAGAAAUUAUAAACACACACACACUUUUUUGCAGAAAAACUGCAUGGAGGCUUCAUAUUAUCUCAUAAUUUAGCACGCGGCACUUCGUUUUCAUUUCUUUGAUUAGUUGAAUUGCCACAAAUCACAUUAUUACCAAGGCAUUUACGGAAUUUUUACAAACAUAAAAUUUCUCUCCUUUUUGUGUCAGUUGUCAGUCACAAAGAAUUAAGCAUCGGUAAACUCGCGAAUUUUUGUCUCCAUAACUCUGGAUUUGAACAGCACAAUGCCGAGUUUGAGCGUAAAUUUUGACGGACAAAAUCAAGUCAAAAACAUAUUCAAAGAAGUCCUUCUCGGAAGUGCAUAGAAAAUAUAUGACGAAAACGAAAGUUUGUUGCAAUGUAACAAACAAAUUAUCAAGUGGUGCCAGAAAUCUUUAUAAUGAAGAUUUUUUCAAUAUAGUUUUAAUUAAUUAAUUUAAUUUAAUA